GACGAACCGUGCAAACGUUGUUCGGAAUCACUGGCUUAAAGGGCGCGGAGGCGGGCUCGCCAGUCAGGGGUGAAAGCCCACAGCUCAACUGUGGAAGUGCCUUUGAUACUGCGAGUCUCGAGGGAGGUAGGGGCGUGCGGAACUUCCGGGUGGAGCGGUGAAAUGCGUAGAUAUCGGAAGGACACCGGUGGCGAAAGCGGCGCGCUGGACCUCUUCUGACGCUGAGCGCGAAAGCCAGGGGAGCAAAGCGGG
rnacentral:rRNA from 1 species